rnacentral:rRNA from 1 species
UUGACCUCGGAUCAGGUAGGGAUACCCGCUGAACUUAAGCAUAUCAAUAAGCGGAGGAAAAGAAACCAACAGGGAUUGCCUCAGUAACGGCGAGUGAAGCGGCAAGAGCUCAAAUUUGAAAGCUGGCCCCUUCGGGGUCCGCGUUGUAAUUUGCAGAGGAUGCUUCGGGAGCGGUCCCCAUCUAAGUGCCCUGGAACGGGCCGUCAUAGAGGGUGAGAAUCCCGUCUGGGAUGGGGUGCCCGCGCCCGUGUGAAGCUCCUUCGACGAGUCGAGUUGUUUGGGAAUGCAGCUCUAAAUGGGUGGUAAAUUUCAUCUAAAGCUAAAUACUGGCCGGAGACCGAUAGCGCACAAGUAGAGUGAUCGAAAGAUGAAAAGCACUUUGAAAAGAGAGUUAAACAGCACGUGAAAUUGUUGAAAGGGAAGCGCUUGCGACCAGACUCGCUCGCGGGGUUCAGCCGGCCUUCGGGCCGGUGUACUUCCCCGCGGGCGGGCCAGCGUCGGUUUGGGCGGCCGGUCAAAGGCCCUCGGAAUGUAACGCCCCCCGGGGCGUCUUAUAGCCGAGGGUGCCAUGCGGCCAGCCCGGACCGAGGAACGCGCUUCGGCUCGGACGCUGGCAUAAUGGUCGUAAGCGACC